rnacentral:rRNA from 1 species
UUGGAGGGCAAGUCUGGUGCCAGCAGCCGCGGUAAUUCCAGCUCCAAUAGCGUAUAUUAAAGUUGUUGCAGUUAAAAAGCUCGUAGUUGAAUUUCGGAAUCUGUCCGUCGGUCGGGCUUCACUGUCCGUACUGGUGUGAUGGGUUUCUACCUUCUGAAUAACCGGCAUGUCAUUUAUUUGGUGCGCCGGGGAAGCAGAACUAUUACCUUGAAAAAAUUAGAGUGCUUAAAGCAGGCUAUCGCCUGAAUAGAUUAGCAUGGAAUAAUAAAAUAGGACGGCAUGGUUCUAUUUUGUUGGUUUCUAGGAUCACCGUAAUGAUUAAUAGGGAUAGUUGGGGGCAUUAGUAUUCAAUUGUCAGAGGUGAAAUUCUUGGAUUUAUUGAAGACUAACUUCUGCGAAAGCAUUUGCCAAGGAUGUUUUCAUUAAUCAAGAACGAAAGUUAGGGGAUCGAAGACGAUCAGAUACCGUCGUAGUCUUAACCAUAAACUAUGCCGACUAGGGAUCGGACGAUGUUAAUUUUUUAAUGACUCGUUCGGCGCCUUACGGGAAAC